rnacentral:rRNA from 1 species
CAGCAGCCACGGGAAUACGGAGGGUGCAAGCGUUAAUCGGAAUUACUGGGCGUAAAGCGCACGCAGGCGGUCUGACAAGUCAGAUGUGAAAUCCCCGGGCUUAACCUGGGAACUGCAUUUGAAACUGUCAGGCUGGAGUCUUGUAGAGGGGGGUAGAAUUCCAGGUGUAGCGGUGAAAUGCGUAGAGAUCUGGAGGAAUACCGAUGGCGAAGGCAGCCAUCUGGCCUAAUACUGACGCUGAGGUACGAAAGCAUGGGGAGCAAACAGGAUUAGAUACCCGUGUAGUCCCUGUCUCUUAUAC